CGGCCUCUCCAAAGUGUUCAUAUUGGACAAGUACUUCACCGAAUUACAAAAGUUUUGGGAGACAGAAAAGAAACUGCAAGCGUCACGCCCCAUCCGCUUUACCCCUGGGGAAAGAGCCCCCGGUACCCAUUGGAUAUAAGCCUGGAUGGGCUCCGGAGCUGGUCUCGACGCGGUUCGGUUCGAUUCCCAGUAGGGCAGGAUUUUUCGCUUCGCCACAACGUCCAGUCCAGCUCUAGGCACCAACAGGCCUCCUAUUCGGUGGCUAAGUGAUUCUUUCCCCGGGGCUAAAGCGGCUGGGGCAUGAAGCUAACCCUCACCCCAUAUAUUGGUUAGAUUAAGAAUCCACGCAGAUAUACCUCGAGCCCCACUUUGUUUUACUUGAGCAGACUGUUAUUCAAUAUGGCGGUAUAUUUCAUUAUUCAGGUUGGCAAUACUACUAUAUCAAUCGUAUUGUUAAUUUAAACAUAUUUUUGAAUUACUAAUAAUUUACCCGUUUGAAGCAUCAAGUUCAUUUAAAUGGCAUCUUAACAUUUAGCCCAUACCGCAAACAAAAUACAACGCAUUUCCAAUAAAGAGAUCAAUUAAUUAAUGCUAGUUAGGAAUAUAAUCGCCAUUUAUUAUUAGAAUCAUAAAAAAACAUAAAUACACACUGUGGGUACGAUGUGGAGUUACUGGCUGUAAAAUCGUGUGGUGCAUUGCAAAAAGAUACCAUUCAAAGAAUAAAUAAUGACAUAGUAAUAAAUUAAACAAUUACAUACGUCAGCACAGGCACUCAGUGAAUUAUGUAAUCUAGUGUAAUUGUUCAAAAUGACUAGCGUUAACGUCGUGGUACAGUUGAGAACGGUGAGCAUCUGACUGACAAGGUUAAUAUUCCGUAUUAUAAUCUGUAUACAUCCUUUUUGAGACAUCCCGUGGUUCACAACUGGGCUGUAAAGGGUUAAAAAGUACCUUGAAAUACACUAAAUUGACCAUACAAUCUUUCGGCUCAACAGUCGAUAAGCAAGGGUAAAGGCGGUCCAACUUCUGAAGAAAAAAAUAUAAUUCCUAAUUUGAACACUAUAAGAUACGUCACAAAAGGUGAUAUUUUUAUUUGAAAAGAUUGACUGACAACACAUGAGAUAUAUUUGCGUAAAAUAGUACAGUAAUAGCCCAGAUUUCAUGUUCUCACGACGGCGAGUACGAUUAUGACUGUCUUCUGGGAUGCUGUACCAUGUACUUUGGUAGAUGUUUACUGACGUUUUCGAAGUGUAUACUGCCUCCAUCAUCAGGGCAAUGUUCGCCAUGAUCAUGGAGGCAGCAAGCACCACAGAGAUUUCGGUAACCUUCUAAGAACAGAACGAAUUGUUCACAAAAAUACAUAUUAUUUAAUUUUGAAAUAUUUAGUACAUUUAGUUAUCGUUGAGCUCACACAGAGUUACUUAUUUGUACAGGCCAAUGAACUAACGAAACGAAAUAGAAUUUUAUAUUACAUA